AGAUUGAACGCUGGCGGCAGGCCUAACACAUGCAAGUCGAGCGGUAGAGAGGUGCUUGCAUCUCUUGAGAGCGGCGGACGGGUGAGUAAUGCCUAGGAAUCUGCCUAGUGGGUGGGGGAUAACGUUCGGAAACGGACGCUAAUACCGCAUACGCCCGUACGGGGGGAAAGGGGGGGAUUCUUCGGAACCUCUCACUAUUGGAGCGGCCGAUAUCAGAUUAGCUAGUUGGUGAAGGUAAAGGCUCACCAAGGCGACGAUCUGUAGCUGGUUUGAGAGGACGACCAGCACACUGGAUGAGACACGGCCAGACUCCUACGGAGCAGCAGUGGGAAUUUUGGACAAGUACGGGGGAAACCUGAUCCAGCCAUCCCGCGUGUGCGAUGGAAGGCCGUGGUGUAAGACUAC
rnacentral:rRNA from 1 species